rnacentral:rRNA from 1 species
GAUGAACGAUGGCGGCGUGCCUAAUACAUGCAAGUCGAGCGAACGGACGAGAAGCUUGCUUCUCUGAUGUUAGCGGCGGACGGGUGAGUAACACGUGGAUAACCUACCUAUAAGACUGGGAUAACUUCGGGAAACCGGAGCUAAUACCGGAUAAUAUUUUGAACCGCAUGGUUCAAAAGUGAAAGACGGUCUUGCUGUCACUUAUAGAUGGAUCCGCGCUGCAUUAGCUAGUUGGUAAGGUAACGGCUUACCAAGGCAACGAUGCAUAGCCGACCUGAGAGGGUGAUCGGCCACACUGGAACUGAGACACGGUCCAGACUCCUACGGGAGGCAGCAGUAGGGAAUCUUCCGCAAUGGGCGAAAGCCUGACGGAGCAACGCCGCGUGAGUGAUGAAGGUCUUCGGAUCGUAAAACUCUGUUAUUAGGGAAGAACAUAUGUGUAAGUAACUGUGCACAUCUUGACGGUACCUAAUCAGAAAGCCACGGCUAACUACGUG